UUUCGGGGAACCAGGAGACAGGUGCUGCAUGGCUGUCGUCAGCUCGUGUCGUGAGAUGUUGGGUUAAGUCCCGCAACGAGCGCAGUCCCUUGGUUUUAGUUGCCAGCAUUUAGUUGGGCACUCUAAAGUGACUGCCGGUGUAAGCCGGAGGAAGGUGGGAUGACGUCAAAUCGUCAUGCCCCUUAUGACCUGGGCUACACACGUGCUACAAUGGAUAAUACAAAGGGUCGCGAAGCCGCGAGGUGGAGCCAAUCCCAUAAAAUUAUUCUCAGUUCGGAUUGCAGGCUGCAACUCGCCUGCAUGAAGCCGGAAUCGCUAGUAAUCGUAGAUCAGCAUGCUACGGUGAAUACGUUCCCGGGCCUU
rnacentral:rRNA from 1 species